UGAACGCUGGCGGCGUGCCUAAUACAUGCAAGUCGAGCGAACAGACGAGGAGCUUGCUCCUCUGACGUUAGCGGCGGACGGGUGAGUAACACGUGGAUAACCUACCUAUAAGACUGGGAUAACUUCGGGAAACCGGAGCUAAUACCGGAUAAUAUAUUGAACCGCAUGGUUCAAUAGUGAAAGACGGUUUUGCUGUCACUUAUAGAUGGAUCCGCGCCGCAUUAGCUAGUUGGUAAGGUAACGGCUUACCAAGGCAACGAUGCGUAGCCGACCCGAGAGGGUGAUCGGCCACACUGGAACUGAGACACGGUCCAGACUCCUACGGGAGGCAGCAGUAGGGAAUCUUCCGCAAUGGGCGAAAGCCUGACGGAGCAACGCCGCGUGAGUGAUGAAGGUCUUCGGAUCGUAAAACUCUGUUAUUAGGGAAGAACAAAUGUGUAAGUAACUAUGCACGUCUUGACGGUACCUAAUCAGAAAGCCACGGCUAACUACGUG
rnacentral:rRNA from 1 species